rnacentral:lncRNA from 1 species
AAAGAAAAGAAAAGAGAAGAAAAGAAAAGAAAAGGAAAAGGAAAAGGAAAAGGAAAGAAAAGGAAAAGGAAAAGGAAAAGGAAAAGAAAAGGAAAAGAAAAAGGAAAAGGAAAAGAAAAAGAAAAAGAAAAAGAAAAAGAAAAAGAAAAAGAAAAAGAAAAAGAAAAAGAAAAAGAAAAAGAAAAAGAAAAAGAAAAAGAAAAGAAAAAGAAAAAGAAAAAGAAAAAAAAAACAGUCUUUCCCUCAUAAAGUAUUUCAGUUUCCAUAAAUGAAUAUACAUCAGAUGUGUGGAGGUGGGAGGUGGAGGAGGAAGAUUCUUUCAAAACCAUGAACAAUGAAAACCUUCCCCAACCUUAGCAGACUUUUAUGAAUAUAAACCUAACAAAGCAAAGCAAUUCACCUUUUUGUCUAUUAAGAAAGUGCUGUACUACCAAUAGCUUGGGAAACAUAACAUUAAAGACUGAUCUGCUUACCGUCAUAACUUGAUUUCAGUGAAAGUGCUCUAUGAAGACUUUAUCAGAUGAACAGAAGAACUUCAAUCAAAAGUGUGUGUCUUGAAUCUUCACUUUUUGUGGAGAAAUAAUACUGUUCAAAUGUAAUUCUCUGUAGCUGUGACUGUUUCAAUACUGAAAAGAUUACUUCAUUAAAGAAACAAUAUGUUCAAAUGUGAAAAUGAAAAGAUAAUGGAAGAAGACUCUCAAUUAAAAAAAUUUUUGAAGUAGAUUCAAAAUCAGUGUGUGUAUCCAAUGAUCAUCUUAAAAAUAGAAUCUAAACAAAAAGAAAAUAAUAAUAAAAUAAAUAAUAAAUAAUAAAUAAUAAAAAUGUAAUAUAUAUAUUUAAGUUAUUUGCUGGAGA